UCUCGUGUGGCGAACGGGUGAGUAACACGUGGGUGAUCUGCCCUGCACUUUGGGAUAAGCCUGGGAAACUGGGUCUAAUACCGAAUACACCCUGCUGGUCGCAUGGCCUGGUGGGGGAAAGCUUUUGCGGUGUGGGAUGGGCCCGCGGCCUAUCAGCUUGUUGGUGGGGUGAUGGCCUACCAAGGCGACGACGGGUAGCCGGCCUGAGAGGGUGACCGGCCACACUGGGACUGAGAUACGGCCCAGACUCCUACGGGAGGCAGCAGUGGGGAAUAUUGCACAAUGGGCGCAAGCCUGAUGCAGCGACGCCGCGUGGGGGAUGACGGCCUUCGGGUUGUAAACUCCUUUCGCCAGGGACGAAGCGCAAGUGACGGUACCUGGAGAAGAAGGACCGGCCAACUACGUGCCAGCAGCCGCGGUAAUACGUAGGGUCCGAGCGUUGUCCGGAAUUACUGGGCGUAAAGAGCUCGUAGGUGGUUUGUCGCGUUGUCCGUGAAAACUCACAACUACAAUUGUGGGCGUGCGGGCGAUACGGGCAGACUGGAGUACUGCAGGGGAGACUGAAU
rnacentral:rRNA from 1 species